rnacentral:lncRNA from 1 species
GGAGAAGCAAGCUUGAAAGUUGAUCUUUAUCUCUUUCAUCUUCUUCCUCUCUAUUGGAGCUUGCUUGCAAGGUAAGCUUUGAUGCCUUUUAAUGGUAUCUCUUUGUAGUUUGGGUUUUAAGCUUCAAGAAUGGAUUUAGAGCUAAUCUAGCAUGCUAAAGAGAUGAUUGUUGCUUAAAUCACGGAUCAAUUUAAUGAUUUCUUGCCUAGUUGUAAACCUAGGGCUUGAAAUGAGCUUUUUGAACCCUCUCAUGGUAGAUCUUUAAAGCUUCAUUUAUAAUCCAUAGAAAUGGUUUAUUUGGGAUCCUAACAUGCUAAAUAAAGGAUAAAUGCUAGAAUCUAGGAUCAAUUUAAUUAAUUCUUGCAAUAGAUGAAGCCUAGGGUUCAAAAUGCAAUUUUUGGAAAUAUAAGGGUUUGAUCUAAAUUGACCUCUCUCUAACCUAAUUGCUAGGUCUACGAACGCAACGGUGCACUCGGUUCGGCGAUCCGACGAGUGUACGUGGAGAUAUUGAGGAUCGAAGCCGUUAAGGUACAAAUUGCCGCAGCUCGCGGCGUAAGCUUCCAAAAAUCAUGAGAAUGGAAUCAUAGCAUCAUGGUAUCGAGGAAUAAACUCCAGAAUAGACGGAUCGCGGAUUGGUAGCCGUUCGGGUGGUCGCGCGAGAGAUCGGGCCAAACCGGGUGCCGGGUGCCGCGGGAGGCCGAUUGCAAGUGUCGACAAGCAAUCGGAAAGCGAUUUGAGGUGGGUUGUGCUUACCGAAGCGACUUGGUCGCCCCAUAUGUCAAAGCGGAAUGUGAAGUUCUUGUUGAUGCAUGUGUAUGAUUACAAUAGCAUUGUGAUUACACUACAAGGAAACAUAUGCAUGUAAAAAUUAGCUGCUUGGUUUAGAGGAAUAUACAUAUGCAUGGUAGCAUUAUGUGAGUUUUAUUAUAUGAUGACAGAAUAUAGAGAUGCUAAGUAAAAUACUUGAUUGCAUGUUGAAAUAUAUGUUUAGUGAAAUACAUGCUAUGAGCAUUUAACAUUACGGGUUCAUGUUGGAUAAAAUGUAUAAGUGCAUCAUGUGGACACAUGUUAGAUGACAAUAAGCAUAUUGACAUUAUGAAAAUGCAUACUAGAGGAUAAUUGCAUAAUAAUGCAUUGGGAAAGUACAUGCUAGGAAGUAGAUGCAAGUGAUAUAUAUAUGUGCAUUGGAAUGUAUGCUAGGUGCAUGUAACAUUAUAUGAGCUUGUUAAAUAAGACGCAUAUGCAUGUGGACUCAAUACGACAAAUAGGUUGUCAAGUAGAUCGAGUGGCAUUUAACCUAGAGUCACGAACAUAGGUUGAACAUGGAUGAUAUGGAACCUAGUGUUAGUAAACAUAGGUUGGAAUCAUGAGUGGCAUAAACCUAGUGUCUUAAAUAUAGGUUGAAUAAGUAUAGUGUGAACCUAGUGUCAUGAACCUAGCAAACACUUAUGGUAUUUGAGCAUAUAUAUUUGUAUCAUUCAUACAUGAUAGGGCUAAGUACAUGUGAAUCUUGGUUGCCUUCAAUGACAUGUUUCUAACGUAGUUGAACAUAGAGAAUGGUGGAACCAUAAUGGACAUGUAUGUUAGAAACCUAUAAUUGUGUGAAUGUGAGAGUUGGACUUGGACAUAGUAAACAAAGGUGACAUUGAUAAUAGAGACAUUGAUUGGCAUAGAGAACAUAGUUGUUAAACAUAGUUUAACCAAGAGUGGCAUUGGACCAAGAUGACAUAGAGAGUGGCAUGAUUAAAUAGGUAGAAACCUAUUGUGACAUUGGCAUUGUGACUAGUGGCUAUGAAUCCUCAAGUUGAGGAUUGAUCGAUGCUCACGAUAAGUCUUGGCUUGAGGGAGGUAGCUCCCCCUCGGGCGGUGCGCUCCGGAGUUGGUCACCACUGGGCGUGGUAGAGUCCCCCCAGAAGACGGUCCCCAGGGAGGUUCGAGUCCCCCGUUAUUAAGGGAUUUUGGUUGUGAGUCAUUGGGGUUAAUAUGGUUAACCGGUAAGAUUGGGUCAUAGCCAAAUGAUUGUAGAACAAGUAUGUAUUAUGAGUUAUGGAUUUGGUAUCCCAGUCGAGAGGAUUUAGGGCUGAGGUGUAUGUGAGACGUUCAUCGCCUCGAGCCUGGUUCUAGUGCGGUACUCCGCAGACGAUUGACUCAAAGCCGUGUCGGGUGGCUAGUGGUAAAUGAGAUAGAUCUAAGGUAGUAGAACCUUAGAAGCUAGUUGAGUAUUAACUAGAUAGUGAAAUAGGAGUAGAAUUGGUAACUCUACUUAUGUGUUGCAUUCUUACAUGAUUCGCAUAUAGUGGCAAUUAUUGCAUUUGAGAGGCAAUGCAUGUUUUUAUUAGUUGCAUAAACUAGACCUAUAUAUCUAUCUGUUUAUUGAGCUAACAUGCAGUUGCCUCCUUUGAACCUGUUGGUCGAGCAUUUUCCUUGGGUGGCCGUACCCACUGGGAACCAUGGAGUUGGUUCUCACCCUACGUUGUUUUGGGGUGUUUACAGGUUCGCACAUGAGCGGCGCGGCGACGUAAGGAAAGGGCGUAGCUCCGUAGAUAGCGCCCUAUCCCAGAGACUAGAGCUAGAAGUACCCCGUCGACAUCGCUUAGGGGUUAAGAAAAUGAAAAGAACAUAAUGUAUCAAAUUUGUAAUAAGUAAAUGUUGUAAUAACUUAGAUUGCAUUUGGAUGAAAAGAAUGGUGGUUGAGAUGUAAAAUGCAUGAAUGUGAAUGAAUGUAAUAAUAUAGGAUGUGUUUAUGUUGUUUGAUACCUUCCUUACGCAAUCUUGAUUGAAAUGUGUUCCUGUUUGGAACUUCGUACAUUGUAUUGAUUGCGAUGCCUUGAACGUACAGGGGAGACUCUGUCCGCAGUACAGGAGAAACCUUGUCCGUUCGGCGGUUUGUCAGCGUGCCCGAACCUGACCAAACAGGCAGGGCUCGGGGCGUGACAGCAUUUCUGACCAAACCACUUAAAAACCUCUUCAGUUCCAUCAAUAUUUUCAAUUUUUAUUUCAGCACAUCCCACAUACAAGCCAUCAGAACCGAACAUUGCGCCGUAAUUAGGAAGAGGAAGGGCAAGAACCCCAAGUAUGUCGGUGAACAAUUGCUUAUAUGAUACUGGUAGGGCCGCUAUUAUCCUUUAAACGUUCAAGAAUGAUAUGAAAAAGACGAGAUAACCACUUUUAAGUUAAGGCAUAGAA